AUGGAUCUUGAGGUCCUGGAGCAUAUACUUGAUGGAAGAGAGAAGCCAACAAAUCUAUCAUUCACACUUUUGAAGAAUAUCACAGAGAACUUCUCGGACGAUCUAGAAAUCGGUCAUGGUGGAUUUGCAACGGUUUAUAAGUAA
rnacentral:rRNA from 1 species